rnacentral:rRNA from 1 species
CGACGACAAUAGUGCAGUUGUCCCACCUGAUUCCAUACCGAACUCAGAAGUGAAAAGCUGUAACGUCGAUGGUAGUGUGGGGAUGAGCAUCGUCGGGGU